rnacentral:rRNA from 1 species
AUAGAGACUCAGAGCUGCAUAUCAAUAAGCGGAGGAAAAGAAACUAACUAGGAUUCCCUCAGUAACGGCGAGUGAAGCGGGAAGAGCUCAAAUUUGAAAUCUUCAAGGUUUUACCUUGACGAAUUGUAGUUUAAAGAAGUGUUUUCUGUUGGAGUUUUGGUAAAAGUUCUUUGGAAAAGGACAUCAUAGAGGGUGAGAAUCCCGUAUUUGACCAUUAUCUCCAGCUUUGUGAUACACUUUCAAAGAGUCGGAUUGUUUGGGAAUGCAGUCCAAAAUGGGUGGUAAAUUUCAUCUAAAGCUAAAUAUUGGCGAGAGACCGAUAGCGAACAAGUACCGUGAGGGAAAGAUGAAAAGAACUUUGAAAAGAGAGUUAAACAGUACGUGAAAUUGUCAAAAGGGAAGCGUUUGACACCAGUGUUGUUUUUCUCGAAAAUCAAUUACAAAAUGGCUGGAUUUUGUGUUGUAUUGACUUUAUCAGCUUUCUGCACUUUUUUCUUGUCUUUUUUAAUGCACUUUUCGUUUAACAAGUCAACAUCAAUUUCUUUUGUUGUAAAAAGGGUCAUUGGAAGGUGGCUUUCUUUUCGGAGAAAGUGUUUAUAGCCUUUGGCCUCUGCAAUUCGGAGAGAUUGAGGUCUGCAGCGUAGAUCCUUCGGGGUUAGAUACAUUUGUGCUAAGUUACAGCCUUUCAUAGACAACUUGUUGACUAUGAUCAGUCAUGUAGCUUACUCGCUUAUGCUAUUUUACCUACGCUUAGGAUGUUGACGAUCAGCUGAGCGCG